rnacentral:rRNA from 1 species
CAGUAGCCGCGGGAAAACCAGCACCUCGAGUGGUCAUGAGGUUUAUUGGGCCUAAAGCAUCCGUAGCCGGUUGCAUAAGUUUUCGGUUAAAUCUAUGCGCUUAACGUAUAGGCCGCCGAAAAUACUGUGCAGCUAGGGAGUGGGAGAGGUACACGGUACUCGAUAGGAAGGGGUAAAAUCCUUUGAUCUAUUGAUGACCACCUGUGGCGAAGGCGGUGUACCAGAACACGUUCGACGGUGAGGGAUGAAAGCUGGGGGAGCAAACCGGAUUAGAGACCCCUGUAGUCCCUGUCUCUUAUAC